AUUGAACGCUGGCGGCAGGCCUAACACAUGCAAGUCGAGCGGAGCGGCGGACGGGGGAGUAAUGCCUAGGAAUAUGCCUUGGAGUGGGGGAUAACGUCCGGAAACGGGAGCUAAUACCGCAUACUAGCAGAUGAGCCUAGGUCGGAUUAGCUAGUUGGUGGGGUAAAGGCCUACCAAGGCGACGUUCCGUAACUGGUCUGAGAGGAUGAUCAGUCACACGGGAACUGAGACACGGUCCAGACUCCUACGGGAGGCAGCAGUGGGGAAUAUUGGACAAUGGGCGAAAGCCUGAUCCAGCCAUGCCGCGUGUGUGAAGAAGGUCUGCGGAUUGUAAAUCACUUUAAGUUGGGAGGCGUUACCUACAGAGUAAGCACCGGCUAACUUCGUGCCAGCAGCCGCGGUAAUUC
rnacentral:rRNA from 1 species